UCUCGCAGUUGGAACCAUCCUCCCUCCUGCUGCCUGGAUUCUUUUACAUCGUCAACCACAGUUACUCUACAGCAAGAUGUCCGUAGACAAAACACAACUUAGUUCCCGACCGGCGAGAUUGCCAGCAGUACGAAUGAACAACUUAUUUACAUUGUAAGGUCCCACAAGACACACCCUGGUGCAGUGGUACACCUCAGUAUACCCUGUCGACCCUGGCAAGCAAGUGGGUAGCUGGUUCUGUGGGACUUCAAGGGCCACUGUGCUGAUGUCAGAUACCAGGCUGCUGAACCUCAAAGG